UUACGCUACUACAGGCUUACACAUGCAGUCGCGGGGUAACAGGUCUAGCUUGCUAGACUUGUUGACGACCGGCGCACGGGUGAGUAACGCGUAUCCAACCUGCCUUUUACAGGAGAAUAGCCCAGAGAAAUUUGGAUUAAUGCUCCAUAGUAUUAUUGAAUGGCAUCGUUUAAUAAUUAAAGUUUCGGCGGUAAAAGAUGGCUAUGCGUCCUAUUAGCUAGUUGGUACGGUAACGGCGUACCAAGGCGACGAUAGAUAGGGGUCCCGAGAGGGAGAUCCCCCACACUGGUACUGAGACACGGACCAGACUCCUACGGGAGGCAGCAGUGAGGAAUAUUGGUCAAUGGACGCAAGUCUGAACCAGCCAUGCCGCGUGCAGGAAGACUGCCCUAUGGGUUGUAAACUGCUUUUAUACAGGAAGAAACACCUCUACGUGUAGAGGCUUGACGGUACUGUAAGAAUAAGCAUCGGCUAACUCCGUGCCAGCAGCCGCGGUAAUACGGAGGAUGCAAGCGUUAUCCGGAAUCAUUGGGUUUAAAGGGUCCGUAGGUGGAUUAGUAAGUCAGAGGUGAAAGCCUGCAGCUCAACUGUAGAACUGCCUUUGAUACUGCUAGUCUUGAGUUAUUAUGAAGUACCUAGAAUGUGUAGUGUAGCGGUGACAUGCAUAGAUAUCACAUAGA
rnacentral:rRNA from 1 species